rnacentral:rRNA from 1 species
AAUCAACGCUGGCGGCGCGCUUAACACAUGCAAGUCGCACGAGAAAGCGGGAGCAAUCCCGCAAGUACAGUGGCGUACGGGUGAGUAACACGUGGGUGAUCUACCCUUUAGUGGGGAAUAACGCUGGGAAACCGGCGCUAAUACCGCAUAAGCUCGAGAGAGGAAAGCAGCAAUGCGCUGAAGGAGGAGCCCGCGGCCGAUUAGCUAGUUGGGAGGGUAAAAGCCUACCAAGGCAUAGAUCGGUAGCCGGCCUGAGAGGGCACACGGCCA